rnacentral:lncRNA from 1 species
UGAUUAAGAGGCUGUUGAUCAAGGGCUUAGACAAGUGGAAUGAACGGAUCUGGAUUGAGACACUAUUUUUGGAAAAGGCAGUUCGUGCGUAGAUCUCGUCAGCGAAUCAUCAUAAAACAGGUAAUCCCCAGCCAUAGUGGGCUUGGAGCUGCGAGGGAUUCGGAGUGGCCACUCGUUCUACAAUAUGGAUUUCUUCUGGUGAUUUGGACUUCAAUUUUCUUUACUUUGAUGAUUUGGGUUUAGUUAUGUAAUAAGG